GGCUGGCUUCGCUGCUGCAGCACCAUACCGUCUUCAGCGACUCACCAACGACGGCAGCUCCUCCGCUUCAGGGCUACUGCGGCAUGCGUGUCUCACUCCUCCAGGGAGGUUGUGCGGCACCGAGCGGGUGUACGGCGAGGUCUUCGUAAUGGCGUCAAGUCACCCUUGCCAUAUGGAUCAUAUAUUUGCUUCAGAUCACGGAAGCUUGGGUUGAUGGAGUG